CUACGGGCUGCACCAGUAGGGAAUAUUGGUCAAUGGACGCAAGUCUGAACCAGCCAUGCCGCGUGAAGGAUGAAGGCCCUAUGGGUCGUAAACUUCUUUUAUUAGGGAAGAAAAAAUGGGAUGCGUCCUAUACUGACGGUACUUAAUGAAUAAGGAUCGGCUAACUUCGUGCCAGCAGCCGCGGUAAGACGAAGGAUCCAAGCGUUGUCCGGAUUUACUGGGUUUAAAGGGUGCGUAGGCGGAAAAUUAAGUCAGUGGUGAAAGCCCGCAGCUCAACUGUGGAACUGCCAUUGAAACUGGUUUUCUUGAAUAUAGCUGAGGCAGAUGGAAUAUAACAUGUAGCGGUGAAAUGCUUAGAUAUGUUAUAGAACACCGAUUGCGAAGGCAGUCUGCUAAACUAUUAUUGACGCUGAGGCACGAAAGCGUGGGGAGCGAACAGGAUUAGAUACCCGAGUAGUC
rnacentral:rRNA from 1 species